CCAAACCCCAAGGAUCAUUUUUCCAAGAGUCGAUGAUGACUCAUUUCAUAAUUCCAUAUUUUCUCAGGUCAAUCUUGCAGAUGAAGCUAACGCCAUUAUAUUGAUUAUGCAAUUUAAGUAGCUGUUUAUAUAUAUGCCUUUGUGUGUGUGUAGGAUACAUCCAUAUGAUUGUAUUAUUUAAUAUUCGUUAUUUGUUCCUUUUUAUGUCUAUAUGUUUGAUUUGAUUAUUUGGUGUGUACCACAAACAUUGGAGUUUAAUGAUGUUCAUUUGAAAGCUGCUUAA